rnacentral:misc_RNA from 1 species
CGAGACUCCAAACAUGUGCUCUAGCAGUAAUUGAAUUUAGGAUGCCUAAGCAGCUUAGGCUAAGCUGUUAUCCUAAAUUCCUACAGACACUGCAGAUUUUGAAAUAAUAAUCAAAACAAAGUAGACUUACUUCACCCUAGUUUUGGGUGGCAAUGGCAAAGACCCCAUUUGGGGGGCUAAGCAUUGGGAAAUAUUUACAACAUUAACUAUCUAGCAAGGGAUUUCCAUUAGUUGCUAUAGCUCCCAGCAAAAAAUGCCAAAGGACCAACUAUGGCAGCAUUGAUAUAUGUUGCAGGCUCUGAGUGACUAUAGUCAGAUCGAUCAUCUGAGUACCCAUCAUUCUGGUUCGGGCCGCCGACGAUGGCUCCGAUUAAGAUGUUAGGAUUAGGGUUUGCUGAAUAGUAGAAGGGCUGGAAACCUCCAUCACAACCUAUAGCUUGUGGGUGUCUUGCUAGAGAUGGCAAUGAAGAUCCCCUGUGGUGAAUUCUCUUUGGAUAAUAUGGCCCAAAUCCUACCAUAUAUGACAUUUUUAUUGGGUUCACCCCAAGGAUGUAGUCCACCUGUCUUUUUGCUACAUAUAAGAUGGAAUUAGGGGUGACAAAGAGAUUGCCACAGUUGAAGGUGUGCUUUGUUGC